CUUUAGCCCCGACAGCAGUGAAAAUCCUUUUGUAGAGGAGGGUUUCAAACCCGUCUCUACAAAAGAUUGAAACGGAUAGCGGGACAAUAU
rnacentral:sRNA from 1 species